rnacentral:lncRNA from 1 species
GAAAGACCUCAACACCCCUGGGGCCAUGAGGCCUGGAGGCAGGUCUGCAUUGUACACUUCGUAUCUGGCAGGUUAGUGACCUGGGAAGAGGUGUGAUGGACUCAUUUCUGGCUCCUGGAGGCUUACUUGGGUGCCUCAGCCAACAUUCUGCUGCUGGACAGAAGGGCCAACGGUCAUGGAUUUGAUGAUGGCAAUUCCUUGGCAUGACUGAGACUCCCUGAGGGUGACUGGCUUUUGGUUUCAGCCCCUAUGGCCAGAUUGUUGCCUGAGUGCUGGUUCAGACCCCUGCGUCUGCCUACAGCACCCCCUGUGACCGCCUGUAACCACUUAGAUACUUUGGAAUAUGCACUGACAGCCCAUAUUAGCUCUGAGCUGGAGUUCACAGCCUGGAAACAAAGCAGUGAAAUGUUCUUCGGCAGGACCUGUGCAAGCUGCUAAGGCGAGGACACCAGGUCUCAGCUGGCAAGGGAGCCUCACCCCAGGAAGCAGCUGUUGGCAAGGCGCGCUCUCCUGCUUGGGUGAAGGGAGAGUGCGUGGCAGUGGAUGUGGGUACUUCCUUGGAGGUCUCAGCACCAGCACCAGUGGAUGGCUGUGGCGUAAACUACCUGAGAUUCCGAGGCAGAAGCUCUGUGGAGGGUCCACACAACUGUAUGUUCACCAGGCUCCUAGGGGAUCUGAUUAUCAGCCGGGUGUGUGGGUACACUGCCCAAGAGAGGUGGUAUUCAACCUUGGUUGCACAUUAAAAUCAUUUGGGGGACUUAAAAAAAUCCCUCUACUCAAGCCCAAGCCACUGAAAUCAGAAUCUGUGGAGGUGAGAGAUUGAUAUCAGUAGUUUAAUAACCUAAUAAGGUAAUUUCAACCAGCAAGCAAUCCUGAGAACCUCUGCUAGGGCUUUCUGACCCUCAUCAAACCCCGCUGAGAAUAAAAAUAUUAUCUGAGCAGUGCA